GAUGAUUCUGCAAUUACAGCGCCGUCUUUCUGGAUUACCAUCUGGAUUAUCUGGGGCUUUUGUGUGAGGUUGUGUUGGGCAUUACGUCUGGACUUGCAGAAUGAACAAAAAGAUAUUGUUACUGAUUCCAUGAAAACAGUCUGAAUCAUUCAGAAAGAUGUGGAGAAGAGUAUUUCUAUGGUGUGAAGCCAGAGAAAAUGGCAACCUGCCAAAGCUAGGUGCAAGCUCUUGUUACAUGGAAGGGUUGGGCCUGUUCUUAUUUCUUCUUGAAAUGGCUUAAUUGGUGUCAGCACCCCAGGGAUAAAGGCCUCUAACACUGAAAUCCACACGAUUCACCCUGUCUCUGCUCAGUGUAGGGAAACUGGUAACAACUGGUGGUGAAUGAGGAGUGAACGGUGCUGUAACAAUACUCGAUGAUGUUUGGGAUGACAGAAAUUAAUACGCACUUGCUUGAAGAAAGCAAUGAUUAAUGGCAGUGAGCACGGGAACGCCGUUCCUCCUUUUACUCCACUUUGAUGGGGAUUGAAAAGCAAAAGGCUGUUUUCAUUCUCUGUAGAAAGCAGAGGUCACACAGAGCACAUUAUAGCAAUUUUUCCUCUCUGGAUUUUUUAUUUCAUAAAUAUUAUGAUAAGCAUAGAUUAGAUAGAUUUUUUUAUGAAAGCUUAAAAGGAUAUUUUAUGUCAUUUGAACAUUGUUGUUUAUGCAUAAAGAAAUCACACAUUCUUCUCUUCACUUGUUAGAUCAUUUCCCUUCAUGUCAGAAUAAUUAGUAUAAUUAAGAAUUAAAAAAGCUCACAAACACACUGCGCACCGUGUUGCAGUAGGAAUUAAAGGGCUUAGUUUUCUAGAGAUUGCUGGGGCAGGGUGGGACAGGAAUGCUGCAAGGGCUUUCCCUUCUCCCUGCCCCUCCCCCUGGUUUUCCUCGGUGAAUGUCUGACGACGUAAAUAUAUUUUGCAAGGUACUUGCACUUGUCAGCAUCUUUCUUAGCCAUUUGAUAAAGAUUCUUUAUUCUACAAGAAAGCCUGAAAUAACAGAACCGUACUUUGGAUAAUGAAUUCUUCAUCUGUGGAGAACUUUAAAACAAAGUACAGUGUUGGCAUUUUUUUCUUUUGAGUGAGAAGGCUGAUAUAUCUUUUGGAUCCGACAGGAAGACAUAAAUUAAUAGAGUUCUGGAGUUCAGUUUCUCAUUAAUAAUCCAUUUUGUCAUGGUUCUUGGCAUUGUCAGGCUAGUAGCUGGUUCAUAUUUUGCUGAAGGAUAAAAGCAGAUUAUGUCUUAAGGCACAGAGCAGGAAUAAAGAGUUUAUCGCCUUUUGGGGGAACUACGUGCUAUAAGAAAAACAUUGUUUUGCAAAAAGUUUCAGUUUUUGCUUAGAGAUACACUGCACAUUUCCCUGGGUAAAGAUUUUAAGAUUUGCAAAUGGCUCUGAGAACCUUGGUAUAUUAUAGUUUUACAUCAUUGCUUAGAGUUGCGUUUGCUGACGGUUUGUAGUGCUUUACUUUUCGGGAACAGUUUCGGUGAAGUUACUACCCUUUUGUGUUUUAUUUUUAGAACUCUGCAUGUUAUCAUAUGGUGAUUCAAAAGCAAAAUGCAGAAAAGUCACUGUUCUCUCCACUGCUUGUCAAGAUAGCCUGUGGUCUCAGCCUGUGUUCUAAGUGUGGGGUUGGGGGUGCUGUGAAGGCAGCAUAGUUUUAGAUCAUAUGAAACCUAAUAGAAGAGUAAUUGCUUGAUAAUGUAAUCUUACAUCUAUCUAUCUAUCUAUCUAUCUAUCUAUCUAUCUAUCUAUCUAUCGGCAGGGAUUUUACUAUGUAGUCCUGUAUUAUGUAGUUGAAACAUACUAUGUAUCUAUGUAUGUAUCUAUGUAUGUAUCUAUGUAUGUAUCUAUGUAUCUAUGUAUCUAUGUAUCUAUCUAUGUAUCUAUCUAUCUAUGUAUCUAUCUAUCUAUCUAUCUAUCUAUCUAUCUAUCUAUCUAUCUAUCUAUCUAUCUACCUAUGGCAGGGAUCUUACUAUGUAGUCCUGUAGUAUGUAGUUGAAACAUACUACGUAGACCAGGCUGGUUUUAAACUCACGAGAGAUUCACUUCUGCCCUCUGAGCCUCUGAGUGCUGGAAUUAAAGGGAUGUAGCCCAUGCUCUGCUAGUUCCCUGGUUUUGUUUUUGUUUGUUUUUUUGUUUUGUUUUUUUUUUUGUUUUUUUUGUUUUUGGUUCUUUUUUUCGGAGCUGGGGACCGAACCCAGGGCCUUGCGCUUCCUAGGUAAGCGCUCUACCACUGAGCUAAAUCCCCAGCCCCUGUUUUGUUUUUUUUAAAGAGGAUUAAGAAACAUUCUACAUUAUCACUGGGCUUAGUCACAGACUUUCUAAAUGGUACCAUUUAAGCUUGUUUCUGUUUAUAUUUUGAUGAACUUAGUUCUUAUAAAGAUUGAGAUACUGUGCCCUUUUUGAUACCCAAGGGUGUUACCACAAGCUGUCUUAGGGCCCAUGUCCCUUGAGUGUAGAUGGGUGCAAGUGAUCAAUAUGUCUUGUCUUCUUAUAUUUCAGAGUAUUUUUGUCAUGUAUCCUGUAAGCCUUCUAAAACAGGCAUGCUUUAGAAAUAGAAAAUGAAGAAUGUUUCAUCUUUAAAACCAGGAUCUCAUGCUGCUGCUCUCAGCUAGCCCUAUUUUUUUGUUUGUUCCUUUUUAAGCUCCUCAAGUAACACAUGGGGGGUGUGCAGAGUCCCAAGUGUUUGCUGAGAUAGCAAUCGAUGGGAGAGGGUUUGUCUGGGUUGUAGGGUGGAGGAGAGUGUUGACUUACGAGUUAAUGGAGAGUAUAGGGGAGGCUUCACUCACUCUACUUAAGGCUUUGUUCUUGUCAAUAAUUCGUAGAUCUUGAUGUUUUCUGAGUUAUUGGAGUUUGUCAUUAGAGAAAACUGGCCUAAGUUAAUACUUAUAAGUAGCAUGCAAUAAAGUUUCAUUUAGGGAGGUGGCUCAGUGGUUAAGAGCACUGACUGCUCUUCCAGAGGUCCUGAGUUUGCUUCCCAGCAGUCACAUGCCAGCUCACAGCUGUCUGUAACUCCUGUUCCAGGGGAUCCAACACCCUUAGACAAACACACAUCUAGGCAAAACACCAGUGUACAUUAAAAAAAUAAGAUUAGUUAAGGAGUAGAAGAUUUUUUUUCUUUUUCCCUCUCUGCAUCCUCUAUUGGACUGUAAGUAUUUAGAGGCCAGGGCCUGUUUAUCUUCUCUUCCUCUAAACACACACACACACACACACACACACACACACACACACACAUACACACACAUACACACACACACACACACACACACACUGCUGCACAUGUUGAAUCUUCUAGCCCUUUUGUUUUUGUCAACUUGACACAAACCUAAAUAUAUCUGGGAAGGAGGAAUCUGAAUUGAGAAAAUUGCUCCAUAAUAUUGGUCUACAGGCUAGUUCAUGGGGCAUUUUCUUGACUUGAGUGGGAGAGCCUGGGACAACCCCCUUGGGUAGGUAGUCCUGGGUGUAGAAGAAAGCUGGCCAAACAAGCUAGUAAGCAGUGUGCUCCAUGACUUCUGUUCUGGUUCCUGCCUUGAUUUCCUGCCUUGACUUCCCUCAGUGAUGGACUCUGACGUGUAGGAUGAAACAAACCCUUUCCUGUCCAGGUUGCUUUCGGUCAUACCGUUUAACACACAGUAGAAACCCUGACAAAGACGUCUUUCAUAUAGAAAUUUAUCUUAAUUGUAUCAGCUACAGUAUUCGUGAAAAAACUGCCAUAGCUUUUACCUAAAUCUUAAGUAAUUUAUAUGUAAAUUGUUUAUAAAAGUAAUCUAUAUGCAUUGCUGUUUCCAUUGCUAUCACUCGUGGUAAUAUUCUAAAAGAAAAAAUUCUGUGUUGAAAACUGAUAACAAGCUUAAUAUUACUUUAGUUCACCUUUAUAGUUUUUACUUUAAAAGUAAGUAUGAUAAAGCAACCUAUUUCAGAGGUAGGAAAAUUUAUGUUCCCCAAAAGAAGUUUUGAAUUAUGAUGUGAAACCUGUUUCUCUGUAGAGUUGGAAAGGAUAUUUGUUUUAGUACAUGAUAAUGAAAUCUUAAAGAGUAGAUUUUGACAAGAGACAUUUUGCUGACAUAGACUAUUUUGUUCAUUUUGACUCUCAAAUAAGUUCAUCUGUCAUAAUGAUUGAUUUAUAUUCAUUUUACACCGUACAGUUUUAUAGCUGAGUUUUCAGUCUAUAAACUAGAAAUCCCUGUUUAAGUUAGUGAUACAAUUAAAUAAUUAUCUUCAGGAGUGACUGACUGGUCACAUGUAUUUGACUAGUCCAGAGAUUAGCCCAGGAUUAGUUAGAUCAAAAGGUACUACAGUCAUGAGUUAUUUAAAUGAGUGCUAAUUUUAAAUAGCAUGAACAGGAACAUAGAAUAUAGUAAGGUAUCAUUUAAUUGCUGUAAGAUUUUAUUCCUUUGAACUUGUGAAUUUACAUGUAAUACAGCCUUGUUGAACCAUCUAUUUUCUAGUUUGAACUGGCUAUCAGUUUGUUGCUUGUCAAGUGAACAGAAUGGGAAAUCAUGAUUCCUACCUGCCUUGUUAGUUGUAACUGUUACCGAAAUUUGAAAGAGGUUUUUUGCUUGUUUUAUUUUUUACUUGAAAAAAUGAAGUAAUUGUACUCUAGAGCCACACAAUGUUGGAUUCCUGAAUGGCUGUACUGAAAACCAGUGCUAGUGACUAGUGUCCAUGGUGACCGCCAAGUGGUGGAUUACAGUAGCUCUGUGGUUUAGGCGGAUGUCAAAGUAGUCAAUACCGUUAAACUCAUUGCCAAGGAUCAUGCUUCAUGGAAACUGUUAAGAUAUGGAAAGCUCACAACUAUUUGAUGAAUAUUUUAUUUCUUUUUCUUUAUUAUUAAAAAUGAUGUAAUUAAUUUUUUUCCUGUGAUAUUAUCAAUGUCUUCCCAUUCUGACAGUCGGUGUCUGUAUUGCUAGAAAAGCAUGUGUACUUAGAAAGGUUUGAAUAUGGUUUCAGGGAAUUAGUCAACACCUGGAAGAUCAUUAACGAAUCUUUCCUGGAGACACUGAACUUCAGGUUCUGUUUUGGUCUGUUCUGUUUUGACAGCCUCAAGUAGCCCAGGUUGACCUGGUCUUGAAUGGGUACUUGGUAGCCAAGGACGGACUUGAACAUCUGGUCCUCCUGCCACCACCUCCUCAAGACCGAGAUUACAGAAGUGCUCAUACCUCAGCUGGGAACUUUUAUUUGGUGUUAGGGAGGGAACCCGAGGUGUCAUGCAUGCUAGGCAAGGAGUAUACCAAUGGGCCUAUAGUUCCCUCCUUCCCUUUCCCCACUUUCCAUCCCCACUUUCUUCUUUACUCCCUCAGUCUCUCCCUUUCAUUUUACAAAAGCAUCCUUUGUCCCACCCAGUUUGUAAAGCUUUCUUCUUGAGCAUGUUAAAUUCACUCUCAUAAAGAUCUACUCAUAUUCAUAGCGCCAGUGAUCCCUGAACCUAGUGCAUGUUUGUCUGACCAUAUAGGGGAGAAGGACUGUGAGAAAGUGGAGUUGAACUAACUAAUACCUGAGUGGGAAGAACAGGCUAGCGUGAGACAAAGGAGGAGGUCGGACUGGAAUGGAAGGGUGGGGGAUGAGGAGGAAAUCUCAGAUUGAACUGUUUAAGUGUUCACUGGGCAAGGCGUUUGCUCUUUCUUUUUUCUUUUUCUUUUCUCUCUCUUCCUUCCUUCCUUCCUUCCUUCCUUCCUUUCUUUCUUUCUCUCUUUCUUUCUUUCUUUCUUUUUUUCUUUUUGGACAAGGUCUCAUUAUAUAGCUCUUACUGGCAUAGAACUUACUAUGUAGACCAGACAGUCCUCAAACUCACAGAGAUCCACCUGCCUCUGCCUUCAUAGUGUUAUAAUUGAAGGUGUGCUACCAUGUCCACUGCCCAGCCACUCUGACUGCAUAAUGAUGGUAGUGGUGAUGGUGGUGGUGGUGGUGGUGGUGGUGGUGGUGGUGGUGGUGGUGGUGAUGAUGAUGGUGGUCAUGGUGGUGGUGGUGAUGAUGGUGGUGGUCAUGGUGGUGGUUGGUGGUGGUGAUGAUGAUGAUGAUGAUGAUGAUACUAUUGGUUUCAACCUAGAUUUCAGAUGCUCCCUGGAGUAAGAAUUUGUCAUAUUUGCAACUCUUCUGUUGCUUUGUGAUAUGAGAUUUAGUUUUUACCUGAUAGUAGAAUUUAAAAUAAACACAUUCCUUGUGUAAAAAAAAAAUCUGUAUUUCUUUGGUUAAACUAUGCUGCAUCAACACUUUUGAGCAAAUUACUUCAGAGAUUCUGAAACUGUGAACUCAGGGCUUCUUUAUAUUCUUAAUAGAGUUUUUGUCUAUAUGGGCUCAAUAUUGAUCAGUAUUUAACUGCAGUAGAAAUUAAAACAAACUGAAAGUAUUUUAGUCGCUUAGCUUAGUGUAUACUAGCACAGAUAACAUUGCAUCAUCUGUUCAUUACGUGCUAUCCCAAACGCUACUUUCUGAAAUUGAAUAAAGCAAAAGAAGAUAGCACGAGGACCAGUGCUGUUUACCUUUUUGCAAGUAUCUUCAUUGUCAGGCUUACUAGAAGACAGCUAGGUUCUUAUCUCUACCUCUGUAGUCUAAUUUCAUGCAGUGAUGAUCCCCCUUCAUGGAUCCUUCAUGGCUGUCCUGCCAUGUAGUUCUGUGGGUCAGUCUGGCUUCAGGUUUAUGAGGAUCUUUCUGCCUCUGCUUCUGAAGUGCUGGCAUUACAGUCGCUCAACACCACACCUGACUACUUUACACUUUUGAAUGUUUUUUUUCUACCUUAAGCAUCUGAAAAAUACCGACGGAUGGCUUCUUUGUCUCCCGAGUGUCAGCACCUCGUCAUUACCUCAUCAGAAGGUUACAUUUGCCCAUGCUAUCUCAAAACUCACCAAACCAUCACCAAAUUUGAAAACGUUUUUUCAUUGGUGGGAGUACAGUGCACAUGUCAGCCAGCUGCUCUAACUCUUAGUGACACCCUGAGGUAUCACCAGGAAAAUUUUUAAGAUUUGAGAUGUCACACAGCAAUGGAUGUUUCCGAAAUCUAACAUUAGCUUGAAAGAUUGUGUUUCGUUGUUGGCGUCCAAACUGUCCACGGUUUUUCUUGAAAUAUCAGGCUUACUUGGUUCAGUUUUGAAAAAAAAAGUCUUCCUGAGUCUCUAAGCUGUAGUAACUGCAGUCUGUCAGUCCUUCCUUCUGAGUGAGUGGAAAUUGAGGGGUGCUUGUGCCUUUGCCUAAGGCUUGGGGUAGAGUUCUUAUUUUGUCACCCAGUGUUAGGCAUAUAUUCGAAUCAUAGGUGAUAAUUUUUAGUUUCAUCAAGGACAUUCUGAAAUGAGCUGUCUCUUUUUUCCCUUCUGGUUUUAAGUGGCAAUGCUAAUGUCACUUCUGUCACUAUGUGAGGUGCACUGCUUUCUUUGCCUUGUGCUAAAGCACCAGCUAUUCAGUCCGGUUCUGCUUCGUGCCCCAUCAAUGGAAAUGUCAACAUAGUGACAAAACGACGACUAUCUCAGGACUGUGAAAUAACUCACACUGCUUACCUCCAAAAGGACCGUGAGCACUGAAGCCCAUGUGCAGUGAGAUACAUAUAUAAUUUGCUCUGAGUCCUUCAUUUUCCUAUGUCUCUAUCACUUGACGGGAAAGUUACUUGAAAAGGAAGAGGCAUUUAGGAUGCUGGUUCUGAAGGCAGCAGUAGACCCUCAAGUCUUCCUUUGGACCUAGGCCCUUGUUAAAUGUCUUCCUGAGUAUGAGGCUCUGGUCAAUGUUCUUCAGGGUUAAAACAGCCUUUCCCUUAGUGUGGACCCUGAUCAACCUUGGCUACACACAAAGGAACUAGGGGACAGAUCAACAGAUGCACAUUCAUGGAAUCACAGUUCUCCAGGAGAACUUGUGUAAGUCUCCUGGGAGGUGUAGGCAAGUCACUGAGUAAUUAUUUGCAAAAUAGAGAGACUGAGCUAGACGCUUAGACUCUCAGUCAGCUGCCAUAGCCCACAAGUUUUUGGUUAGUAGUUAUUGUUUGACCAUUUACUGCUAACUCCAUUUGCUCUUCAAGCUGAACAGAUUAGGGUUUGCGCUUUAAUGUUAUGUUGAUUAAGCAUUGACUUUUUCGCAGUAUGGAAAAAUGGAAUGGACAACAGGGAAGUAAAGACUUGUCAGGGAGAAAGGAAGAAAUGGAUGUUAUGUGCAGAGAAGAAAUGUGGGUGUUGAGAGUUGUGUAAUUGGGGACACAGCUAAUGUAACCCCGAGUUCUGUCUUUUAUUGUUCACUAACAUGGCAGAGCAGCUUGAGUUUAGACAACACACAGGUCUAUGAGUUGCAAAGUCUGUCAUUGGUAGAUCCCAGGGUUGCCAUUGAUUGUAUAUGAAUUACUGAAAGAAAUCUGAAAACUAAGGCAUGGAUCUGAACAUAAAUACUGUUGAUUCUGAGCUCCCUUUGGCUCCAUUAAUUUUGACCUGAGAGCUUUGCUUUCUUUUUGAGAGGGGAAUCAUCUUUGGAUAAUUGUUCUCUGACAUUUUCAAAGGAAUGCAGCUCAGUAGGGAAAGAUGGCCUCCAAAUUCAGGUUUCUACCUAGAGCAGCCCAGCAUCCACUCCACCACACCCCUCCCCCUAAAGAAUGUUAGUGCAAGGGAUUUGGUGAAUCCUGGAAGGCGCAAUUUAGCUUCUUGAGAAGGAGAGAGGGCGCCUGUGAUGCAAUUUUGUGUUCAGGCAAAUCAAAUCGGAAAGGUGGAAAAGCUGCCAUUGUGGCAGUAUUUAAGGAGAAAAGACUCCAGAGACUGUGUGUUUUGGAAAUAUUUGACAACAUUAGCAACGUCAACUACUGACACAAAAAAGAACCACCUCUUUGGCAAAUCUUCCACAGCUGUGCCUGGAAAAGCAGGUUCAUCGGAAUGUUCCCACAAACUGUCAUCAGCCGUGCAGCAGCAGCUCCACAAAUCAGAAAUGAUAUCUUCAGGCGCUGCUGUCAAGUGUUAUUCAAAUAAUACCAGCCUCACAUUUGAAUAACAGCAGACAUUUUGAAUUAAUUAAUCAGAUGAGAUAGUCUAGGCCUUUUCUCAUUAGUCUCUGGGUCAGGCUGGGGAAGAUAUAUGUGGUGGUGAUGAUACACUUGCCUUUAAUCAUGAUUUAUGAAGAUUUAGGAUUGUGUGUGAUUUGUCAGAGGUUCUGGGAAAAGGCUGGUGCAUAUUUCAUUACCUAAUCUGAGAUUGAUUUUAUGAUGCUAGCAGAGCUCACACUGUUGUUGAAAUGCACGGGAAGUCUAGGGCACCACAUGCAGGCUUCUCACUGCCUGGUCUUUGCACCGGGCAGCCAAUGCUGGGAACCUUAGCUGCUUGUAGUUAGCAGUUCUUGCUUUAAUUAUGGGCAGAGUUUUUACUGUUGCCAAGGGGAGACGUUUCAGUGGUUGUUGAGCUAAAAUACAUACCAGACAUCAUAACUCUGACCUGGUAUGAAUCAUGGACAGAGUUGGUAAAUUUCAUGGAUUGGUCAUGGUAAAGAUAUAACAUUUCAUGGCUUGUCAAAGAUUAAUAGAAAAAUCUUAUUAAAAUGGAGCAAAUACUGGAAGAACAAAUCAGUGUACUUUUCUUCACAUCAUCUUAUACUCAGGAUUAAUUUUAGCACUUCUAGAUGUAAAAUCAUAUUUUUGUUUGUUGUUCAAACCAUGAAUAAUUUACUAUAAACUAAAAUAAUUAUGCAAAAAUAUCCAGUUCAGUGCCUGGUGUGCAGCCGGUGCUGAUGUUUACUCAUUUCUCUUUCUACCUGUCUUUCCCUCUUUCCUUUCGACUUUUAAAGUUCUGUUAGCUUUGUUGAACUUCUGCAUUCCUAACAUUUAAAAAAUCCUGUUGCUUUUAAUCUCUCCAAGGAAUGUUUAUUUGAGGGAGAGAGAGGCUGUCAUCUCAGCAGACCAGAUGACAUGUGUGAUGGUAAAGUGUGAGGGUGAGGGGGAUAGUCAUGGUUAUGGUGGGUGUCAUGGUGAUGAUGGGGCAAGGGGUAAAUAUGUAAGAAAUUGAGUGUUAACCACUUAGUAUUUGGGGAUUGGACUGGCCAACUCACAGUGGGUCUUUCUGUAUAACCUGUCUCUGCAGGCAGUACAUAUUUAUAACUUGGUGGUUUUUCUUUCUUUCACACAAACUAAAAUACAAGUUGUGUGACAUAUCCAGGAAUAAUAAGGCCAUUUUAAAUAUUGUUACACAGGUUUAAAAGUUAUUUUCCUUUCUUAGGGUCAUCUGUCAGGUAUUGCAUUAUCGGGGUGACUGGUCAGUUUUGGGAACUGAUUAGUAGUGGUUUAGUAAUGUCUGGUGCAUCUCAGUGCAUUAAAAACGGACAGUUCUAGCUAGUGUUCACUUUGGGGAGGGCGGUUUCCAGAUAACAGGAAGUGUUGGUAUUAGGAGAGAGCAAUAUUUAAGGGUAGUUUGGGGGGCGCUUGCUGCAGAACAGCCCUAAUGUCCGAAUGAAGCAGAUCUGGACCCCACCCUAACUGCUACACACUGGUCUGUAACCUUGGCAAAUUACCUAUUUUUUUCCGAGGCUUAGUUUUCUUUUCCCUAAAGCGAGGCCAUUAAUACUGGCCUUCAGGGUUAGGUGAGGAUUAGAGGAGAAUGUGUGCACAAUUCCUCAUUCGUUGUCUGCGUGUAGCAGGUGCUUCCAACAAUGAGAGCUGUCGCUGCUAUUUUACCCGCUUGUUUACUUCUUAAACUUCGUGAUAUCCAGGCACGGGGGCACAUGCUUCUAUCCUAUUACUUGGGAGCUAGAGGCCCGAGGGUUGUGAGUUCAAGGUCAUCCUCUGCUACAUAAUGUGUUUGAAGCCAACAUAGGCUACAUGAAACCUUGUCUCAAAACCAAAUCAAACAACCAAAGGAACAUGGAGGGCUUGCUGUACUCAGUGACACAAGUGAGACCUCAGAGGCACAGCAAAUGCUUUCUGUUAAGGAACAGGUUGGAGAGUGCAUGCAGGAUUACUGAGAAUGAUGAGGGGGCAGGUAGGGACUCCCGCAGCAGUGUUACUGUGCUUUAUAAAUGGAGGUAGGUCGGGGCUGGGGAUUUAGCUCAGUGGUAGAGCGCUUACCUAGGAAGCGCAAGGCCCUGGGUUCGGUCCCCAGCUCCGAAAAAAAAGAAAAAAAAAAAAUGGAGGUAGGUCUUCUGUCUGCAUUGGGUAGCUCUGAGUGGUGCAAGCGCAGGAGUAGAACUAGAACUUUCCAGGUUUUGCUUCAGAGCUGUUGGAAUAAAUGGUCAGUAAUUAUACGCUAUAGUGAAUAAUAGGGACUUAAGAAUGCUUAGCAGUGGUUUAAAUAAAACUGGGACAUGAGAAGGCUUAGACCAGUGCUUCUCAACCUGUCAGUUGCUACCCCUUUGGCAAACUUCUGCCUCCAAAAAUAUUUAUAUUACAAUUCAUAACAUAGUAAAAUUAUAGUAAAAUGUAGCAACAAAAAUAAUUCUGUGGUGUGUGUGUGUGUGUGUGGGGGGUCGCCACAACCUAAGGAACUGUAUUACAGGUCACAGCAUUCAGAGGGUUGAGAACCGCUGGCUUAGGUGAUCCAUUAGAUUCAUUUUAUCUUUACUCGUGUGGUGGCUCACUCCUACUUAGCCUUCAGAUCCUGAGCCGAGUCCUUCUAGAACAGGUUUUUGAACCCUCAAUUCUUUUUUUUUUAAAUUACACUUUAUGUGUGUGUAAAUGCGUGUGCAUAUGUGGCAUAGUGCGUGUGUGCAGUUCAGAGGACAGCUUUAUGGAAUUGGUUUUCUCCUUUUAUUUCUACAUUUGUUCCAAGGAUUGAACUCAGGUCACCAGGCUUCUUGGCAAGCUCUGCUGAGCUCUUUUGCUGGCCCAGCCUCUCACUUCUGUUAGUUACCUGCUUUAUAUGCCCAAUAAGAUCCUGAUUUUUUCCGCUCUGUUAUUAUGCUCAUGAUGCUGUAUUUAAGUUUCUUUUCCUCUCAGUGAACUGUGAACUCUAAUUGGGUAGAAAGUGUGUUUUGUCCCUUGGUGUAUCUUCCUUGUUGAAAUGAACUCAGCGUUGUAUAUGAGGAGGAAGGGAGAAAGUAAAGUGCUUCUUAGUUUUGAAUAAAGGCCUCAGGGAAAUUCAGGGUGGGAUUGCAGGCUGUGUGAUGUGCUUAUUACCACCCUCCUAGAUAAUGCACAUUAUUUCCUAAGUGCUUAUACCAACUCAUAUGCUUGCAGGAAUAUAUGAUUGUUCCGUCUGCUUAAGCAUAUUCUUUUUAUAUUUGAGUAAAAUUCAACAGUGUGACACUAGCCAUCUGAACUAUACACAGUUCAGUGUCGCUUUCUAUAGUCAUAAGUGUCACAUGACCACCAUUUUGCUCUUGUUCCAAAAUGUUAUCAUCAUCUUAAAAGAUUACUUCUUUACCCGUUAUUAUGUCUUCUUUCCCCACCUCUGCCAACCACCAAUGUGUUUCUUAUUUGUAUACAUUUAUCCUUUCUGGAUGCUUCAUGGAAUCAUUUAAUAUGUAUUAUUUUAUUUUCACUGGUUUCUACUAACUAAUAAUGUUUUUCAAGGUUCACCUUAUGGCUGAGUAAUAUUCCAUUAUGGCUAUAUUACAAUUUAUCAGUUGAUAAAAUAUACUUUACUGGUUUUUUCUUUUUCUUUUUUCUUUUUUCCUCUUUCUUUCUUUCUUUCUUUCUUUCUUUCUUUCUUUCUUUCUUUCUUUCUUUCUUGACUCUUGUGAAUAAUGCUGUUAUGGCCAUGUACAAAUAUUUGCUUGUUUACAUUUUCAAUUCUUUGGUGUCUAUGUGUAGAUAAUGUUGGAAUCGAAUUAUAUGGUAUCCAUAUUUACUUUUUGUGUGUGCGUGUGCGUGUGUGUAUUUAUGAGAAUGAGGCCCCAGGCCUCAAGCACUGAACAUUGUCUAUUUUAGGUAAGGCAAUGUCAAUAAACUAUUUCCACGGUACUAUUGCAUUUUACAGUUAUACCAGCAUUGUAUGGCCCUGGUUUUUUAGAAAUACUUGAUAUUUUCUGAUUUUCUAAUUUCAUUGGUCCAGGUUGGUGAGGUGGUAUCUUCUUGUGGUUUUAAUUGGGAAGGGUUUUUUUUUUUCAUUUUUUUUUAAAGAUUUAUUUUAUUUAUUAUAUAUAAGUACACUGUCGCUGUCCUCAGACACACCAGAAGAGGGCAUCAGAUCCCAUUACAGAUGGUUGUGAGCCACCAUGUGGUUGCUGGGAAUUGAACUCAUGACCUCUGGAAGAGCAGUCGGGUGUUCUUAACCGCUGAGCCAUCUCUCCAGCCCUUUUUUUCAUUUUUUAAAAAAACUUUUUAUUGUUUUUUUGUAAAUCCAUUCAUCUCUCCCUUCCCUUUACCUGCCAUCCAACCUUGCAACACCCUCCUCUAUUGCAACAACAACACAAAAUCGUACUGUGGAAGCUAUAGUGAGUCAGUGUGCUCUACAGUACACCCUUUUGUCCACACUUCUUUGCUUGCAAGGAUUUGUUGCAAUGCCUUCUUGAUCUGGUAUGAGGCCUCCUCACUGGGACUCCUCUAGGAUAUUCUGUCCUUGCUCUGUGUCAUGGAAAUCCUGUGGUUUGGAUCUGUAGAAGCAGCUCCUUUAUGCCCUCCAACAAUUUAUCAGUGGGGUAGGUGUUGGGAUAAGCGAAUUCAAAGCCCUGGAUGGGCCUGAAAGGUAUCUGAGCUGGUCAGUCUGCUGGCUCUCCUGCCCUUGGGGUCAGUUCAUUGGCAAUUUCCCCACCUCCCAACUCCCCUUAACCAGGGCCAGCUCUAUCCUGCUGCCCAGGAGAGGUGUUGCAACAGGUGAGGGACAUGGCUUUUCUACCUGCCAUAGUUGUCAAGGGAUAAGGGAGGAGAGCAUGUCUCCCUUGUCUAUGCCACCACACAGCAGACAAGAGGCAGGGUGGGCUCUCCUACUCUCACACUCUUUUGGCCAGCCACGUCCAAAAUCAGAUCAGAUCUAUUGUGCUGCCCAGAUGAGGAGCAAGCAAGGGCAGCCCUCCCAUCUGUCCAGACGGUGGAAAGGGUAAAGGGGGAAGGGAGGAGGAGAUCUCUCUCUUGCCUAUGCCACCACACAACAGACAAGAGGCAGGCAGGGCCAGCUCUUGUGGGAGGUUUUUUUUUUUUUUUUUUUUUUUUUUUUUUUUUUUUGUGUGUGUGUGUGAUUAUUGAUCAUUUCUAUAUCUUCUCUGGAGGAAUAUUUAUUCAGUUCUUUUUCCCAUUUUACUUGGGCCCCUUCUCUUGUUGAGGAGUUAAGGGUGCUCUUUUUGUUCUGGAUGCCAGGCCUGUACCAGGUAUAUGAUUUGCAAAUAUUUUAUGUUCUGUUUUAUUGAAAAUAUUGACUUCUUAUACACUAAAUGUUUUAAAUUUUGUUAAAAUUUAUAAUUUUGAUACAUCUAAGGAUUCAUUGUUAAAUCUAAAAUCAAAAGGCUUCUCUUUUUAAAUAAUUUAUUUUAUGUUCAUUGGUGUUUUGUCUACACGUAUAUCUUUGUGAUGGAGUGUGCUGCUGUUAGCCAUGUUGGAAGGGAAGAGUCCUGUAAGUCUGUUGAGGUUAGACAUGUAACUAAAGGAUUUGGAGUCUACCCUGCUGGUCUUGCUUUGGUCCACUAUCUCUUCACUAUGUCCCCGUCUCUUCCUUUUGGAAUGGCUGUGUAUAUUCUGUGUCAUUGCAUGUUGGAAGUGUGUAAUUUGUUUUUUGUUUUGAUCUUGAAUAGUGUAUAGUUAAGAGAUGGUCUUGCAUUUUAGAAGAGACCUUGAACUUUUAAGUUGUUUUGACUGGGAAAGAUGAAGGGGAUUUAGAAGUUGUGUGCAGUGUCUAGAGGCCAGUAGAGGAUGAUAGAUGACUGAUCUGUCUGAUGUGGAUGCUGGGAUCCAAACGUGGGCCCUCAGCAAGAACAGUUAUCUUUCUUAACCACUGGGACAUUUCUCUGGCCCCCAAACUGAUUUUUAUGGCUUGAUCUUCUUUGUAUCCACUUACAUUUUUUGACUCUGGUAGGCUUUUGUGUUGGGGGUGUAUGUUCAUGCCAUCUAAAAGGAGAGAGUUUUACUUAUAUUUCUUGAUUUAUUGACCUAGCAAACUAGUUUUUUUUCGAGACGGGGAUUCUCUGUGUACUCUUGUCUGUCCUGAAACUUGCUCUAUAGACUUGACUGGCCUUGAACUCACAGAGAUCCGCCUGCCUCUGCCUCCCAUGUGCUGGGAUUAAGAUUUGGUGACCCGGUGAUUUUUUUUUUUUAAAUGUUCUGAGACAGGGUUUAUUUGCGUAGCCCUUACUGUCAUGGACUCGUUUUAUAGACCAGGCUGGCCUCACACUCACAUAGACCCUUUGCCUCCCUAAGUGCUGGGAUCAAAAGCAUGCACCAUCAUGCCUGAUAUGACCUGGUGAACUUUUAAGGCAAAGUGGACUAGCUAUGGAGGAAAUAGGUUAUCUUUCUGCCUGGUUUCAAUCUUCGUGAGUAAGCUUUGAGUCAUCACUGUGUAUGAUGCCAGUUGUCGUGUGUGUGUGAUGAUAAUAUGUAUAAGAAUGUUUUGCCUGUAUGCAUGUAUGUAUACCGUAUGUGUGAAGGCAUCCUUGGAGUUUUGGAUGGUUGUUAGUCAUCGUCUUGGCUUUCCUGUUUUGAUUACUAAUUCAGUCUUUUUUAGAGGUCAUCUCAAAUUAAGACUGUUUUUCUUAAGUCUGUGUAGGUAAUUUGAGUGCUUUCAAGAAAUAGUCCAUUUUUUCCAAGAGGUGGUGGUAAUACAACGUUCAUAGCAUUCUUGUUUGUUAGUUUCUGUAGUGUUGGUAAUAGAUUUUGGGGUUCACACUCUAAGAUUCUUUAGGAUCUUUGAUUUCUGUAGGUUAGCAGUAAUAUCUCCACAUUCAUUUCUGGGUUUUAUUUAAGUUCAUCUCCUUUUCUUCUUUCAGAGCUAUGGCAUGCUUAUUUUGACUUCUGGUUCUGUUUAUUUUUAUUCUGUUUUGGCAGUUUUCGAUUCAGUGUUUAUUAUAUUCUUUCUCUUGCUAGCUUUAGAUUUAUUCUGUUCUGUUUCUUUAAGGUAUGAAGUUAUGUUAUUGACUUGAGAUUUUUUUCUUUUCUUGCAAUAUCUUUCCAUGUUUCCCAGACUAGUCUUAACUCCUGAGGCUCAGAUGAUCUUCUUGUUUCUGAGCCUCUUAGAUAGCUUGGUCCAAAGGCAUGUAUCUUUAAAGUGUUCAAUGGAGCCCAAUCCUCCCCUCCCUAAAGGGUAAUUUUAGUAUAUGUUAAACUAAUUUUAAUGCUUCCUGUUCAGUAUUUUAAAUCCAUCACCUUACAUCCUUCUUACCAGCAUGGCCAAUCUUACUGAGGCCCGCCCCUCUGUGUGACGUGGUGCUCCUCUUGCAAUGUGUGGAUUUUGCAUUUACCUCUGGAGCUUAGUGAGACGUGGAUGUCUUUAGACAAUUUAAAACUUCUCAGCCACAUGUCAGGAACUUCUUUCUCUCCUCUUCUGUUUCCUUUCUUUUGGCGCCGCUAGAUGAGCACAUAAGUUCUUGCACUCUGUGUGUUCUCACAGUCUCUUUUUGUGGUUGUGUUCAGCUUUGUGCGUGAGUGCACGCUUGCACGGGUGCUCUGUCACUGUACUGCACCCUCAGCCAGUGUUUCCAUAGAGAUUUCCUUGAAUUCUAGAAACCUAAGUAAAGAAAAAAAUAAAAAAGAGGCACAUAGAAAAAGAAGAAUUAAGAAAGAAUGUUGUCUUCAUGGACUGUCUCCCUGGGGAUAUUUUCUUGCUUAGCUUGACUAAGCCGUGUGCACUAGUCAGGCGCUAGCUAGGUUUCUCUGCCUGUGCUUAGCUCCUCAACAGUGAGAAGUGAGACCUCAGAGCAUCCUUGAGUCUUCUGAAUGGCUGGUUGCCUUAGCAAGCUCCAUGCUGUCUAAGUUCUAAAGUGCGGGCAGUGCUUGGGAAGCCCUUUUGUCCUGGGCAAGGGUGUUGCCCAGUCUUUCCUGUUUUCUGAGCUUGUGCCACAGGUAGCUGCCCAGUCUUAUUUUUCUUAAAAACUUAUUUUGGAGGAAUGUCCCAUUUUCCUGUUUGAAUGACUUCUGCAUUAGACGAAAUAAACCAGAACCUCCUUUUUGUUUUUCAGAGAGAUCCCAGAAGAUCAGAGCAAACACGCUCUUUGUUAAUAAGGUCUGUUCUGCUCUUUCAGUACUAGGGGUCAGCAUCCCACCUAACCUUCAGUAAGGCUGGUAGAUGGGAAGGAAUGUGUGCAUGCUAAGAAGCUAUCCUCCUGUUUCGUUGUUUACAUAUUUAUUUCAGUAUUUGGUUGCUUUAAAGCUUUAUCUGCUAGAAUUCUCGAUUUGAUUUAGCCUGUUUAAUUUGACUUUUUGAAAAGUAACUAAGGAAAGUCUCUUUGGUGCUGCUUCCUGUAUUUCUUGCUGCUGUUCUGGAAACUGGCGUUCAGUUUUGAAUAUGUUGGCCUGAGGUACUGUGGCUGGCUCUGUGGAUUUUCCAACUAUACUUUCACCUAUUUCUCAGGGAAGAGAUCAGAGCCGUAGAGAAAGUCUGGAGUUUAAAUUGAUCUGUGAGAGCAUUAGCCAUGCCACCAUUGAGUCCACCAUGGAGAUGAAGGGCUAAUAGUCAUGCAGUACAAACCGGCAUUUUGCCCACAGCAGAGUGAAAGCUAGGAAGUAGAGUGUCAGACAUUAGAGGGUGGUUUCAGUCAUUGUGAAAUACAUCAGGCAGCCACUGUGAGAGGUGGUUCCGUGCUCCUUAUCCUAAGCUGUUUUGGUAGAAUAUGGCAUUCGAAUGAGAGGAGGUAAGGAAUUGGUAAUGACUUGCAGGUGACUUAGAAUGAAAUCUUUUUCUUCUUUAUGUUGACAGGGACAUCAUAUUUGUGAUCAGAGAAGACCUGGGAGAGAGCAGUAUAGAUAGCAAAAGAUGUGAGAUGAAGGUGGUGAAGACUAGAGUUAGGAUCAUAGAAGAGGUGGAUGCUGGAAUUCCAAACAGCAUGUAAGUCAGGCCCACCUUUAAUCCCAGCACUUCCCGAGGCAGAGGCAGGCAGAUCUCGUGAGGCUGAAGCCAGCCUGCUCUAUGUAGAGAGUUCUAGGACAGCCAAAACAACAUGUAACUUUGUACAUACUUGUAGGGCACACUCAGACAGUUAGCAUAUAUUUAUAAUAUAUAACAAUUAGAUCAAGGUAAUUAGAGUUUUUAUCUGAGACAUUGUACUUACCUCAAAACAUACUAUAGUCAUUUUAUAGGAUAUUCCCCUUAACUCUGCUUUAGUCCAUUAAAAAAAAUCCAAACAAACAAAUAAACAAACAAACCAAAGCCUGCCAUAAAGUGAGGGAAGGCAAGGCUAAGGAUACGCUUGUGUGAGCUGGGAAACGGAGAGGAGGAGUGGAGAUGUAAUAGGUUCUAGGCUUUGUCGUAGGGAGUUAGGAUGCUCUUUCCUGUGCUUCCUUGUGCUUAGGUGCGGAGGGACGGAAGGCACUCUGUGAGGGGCAGAAGACUGAGGAAUUUGAAGAUUGUUCGGUGUGAUUUGACUGUAGGCAAGAGGAUUGGCACAAUAAGAUUCUGGGUAGAGAAUGAGGCGUUUGAGUUUUAUUGCAAAGGUGAAGCAGUUCGGGUGAAGGAUGACACGUUUAGGAUGUGGCUGUGGGGACUGUGUGUGAAGGUAGCCCUAGCAGUCAUUAAUUUUUUUCCUUAUAGGAAGUCAUAGUCUAGGGCAGUGGCCAAAUUUCUUACAAGCUUCUGGAGACCACAGACUAAUGAUAGAUAGAGAAGACUGAGUCUUAUGCCUACACUAAAAAAAAAAGAUUUAUUUAUAUGAGUACACUGUAGCUGUCUUCAGACACACCAGAAGAGGGCAUCAGAUCCCAUUACAGAUGGUUGUGAGCCACCAUGUGGUUGCUGGGAAUUGAACUCGGGACCUCUGGAAGAGCAGUCAGUGCUCUUAACGACUGAGCCAUCUCUCCAGCCCUAUGCCUACAUUUUUAAUGAAUGUGGUUGAAUAUUAAUAUUAGUUAAUGACCAGUGGUGGAUGUUGCCUUGCCAAGUUAAUUUUUCUCAGCUAAUUAUUUCCAAUGAAGAUCAAGCUACGGCCAUUUUAUUUGGAAAUAAACAGAUAGUAAUUUAGGAAACUAAACCCUGCAAGCACUGUUCAUACUUUGUGUUUAUUCCACAGCAUGCACUGAAUGCCUGUUCUGGGUUGCUACUGUCUAGGGGAACAGACGAGCAGGUACGGUGAGCUUAGAGCUGGAGCUGCUCUCUCAUCGCUCCUCAGAGUCCUGAGAUGGACCCAGAGCCACCAGAACCUCUACUUACAGCUCCCCAUUUCAGUGUGUGUGUGUGUGUGUGUGUGUGUGUGUGUGUGUGCGCGCGCGCGCGUGCAUGCAUGUGUGUCCAUGUGUGUGUGUGCGCGCGCGCGCGUGCGUGCAUGUGUGUCCAUGUGUGAUGAUUUAUUUAUUUAAUGUGUGUAAAAGCAUUUUGUUUGCAUCUAUGUUUGUAUACCACAUGUAUGUGGUACCUGUAGAGGCCAGAAGAGGAUCUAGGAUCCUCUUGGAAUUGAACCAGGUCUUCUGGAAGAGCAGGGAUUGCUCUUAACCUCUCCAGCCCCCGCCACACACACACAUUUCAGACAACAUAAAGGAACAAAUCAAAUAGAAGCUCCAUAUAUGCAUGUAAUUUAUGAAAGAGUAUUUCGGAUAAAAUGGAAGGUUUUCUGUUUAUCUUUCCCUUAUUCCACUCUAUAUUCUUUUUCUCCUUCCUCCCACACUGAAUUUAUUGCUCCUAAUUCCCAUGAUUAUGUCUUAAAUUGAGGGUCCUCCCAAGCCUUCAUGUUACAUUAUUCAGUCACAUGUAAUUAUUUUGUAAUUGUGACCAAAAUAACUGUUGAAAAUCAUUUAAGGAUGAAAGGUUGAUUUGAGCUCACCAUUCCAGAGAGUUUCAGUACAUUGCAGCAGGGAAGGAGAGUGGAGCAGUUUACUUCACGGCAGAGGAACUUGUGGCACAGGCUCUUCAUGUCAGCAUAGAGCAGGACAGAAAGUGCAGCAGGCACCAGGUCCCGGUGUAACUGUCAAGGUCCCACAAACAGUGACUAGCUCUUGCCAGCUAGGCCUUGCCUUGUAAAUGUUUCGGCAGCUUUCUUCAAAUGAAUUGGAAAGAAAACAAACAUUAAAACGUGAGUCUACAGGGGCUGUUCAAUAUUUAAAUUAUAACAGUACUAGUUUUAACUUGGUAAUUUAUCUUUUUCCUUUAAAUAUUGGUUUUCACAGAUUCACCAAAAGUUUUUUAGCCAAGGUUUAUUAAUUUUUCUUGCUAUAUAUAGUGUACCAUUAAGUAUUCUAUAGCUUUUUAAAGAAAAAUUCUUUUUUUAAAAGAUUUACUUUUUUAUUUAUAUAUUAGUACACUGUAGUUCUCUUCUGACACUUCAGAAGAGAGCAUUCCCUUACAGAUGGUUGUGAGCCACCAUGUGGUUGCUGGGAAUUGAACUCAGGACCUCUGGAAGAGCAGUCAGUACUCUUAACCGCUGAGCCAUCUCUCCAGCCCCUUAAAGAAAAAUUCUUAUGAUGGUGGACAUAGUCCUAUAGUUUUAAUAUUGUAAAAUGCUCUAAAAAUGCUUUGGUACACUUUUUUUUCAUGCUGUGGUCAAAAUCAUGAUCUUAUAUGUGCUUCAGUCAAACCUAGGACCUUAUACAUGGAAAAUGAAAACAGGACCUUGUAUAUACUGAUGUCAAACCCUGGUCCUCAUACAUAGAAGGCAGGAGCUCUGCCAUUGAGCCUACAGCUUUAUUUCCUUCCAUCCAUCUAUCUGAGACAGGGUCUCACUGUGUGGACCAGGCAGACCUUGGACUCACAGAGAUCUGCCUGCCUCUGCUUCUGAAGUGCUUGAAUUAAAGGUGUGAGCCAUCAUGCCUAUCCCCUAUUCAUCGCAUCAUAACAUACAUUCUCACAGUUAGCUUAGCAGUUUUAAAAUAGUGAGCAUUUAUCAUCACGGAGAUGUUUGUUUCUGUGUGUGAUCUAAUUGUAUAGGUAUAAUAAGUGUCUCUGUGUUGGGCAGCAGUCACAUUAAUGCUUACUUAGGGUGGGAUGCUUCUGAUCGCCCAUGUUACUAGGACCCAGAUUCUGGCUGAUAGCCAGAGACAGCUGCCUAUUCCUAGGUGGUUUAUCCAUACAGUAGCCUAUGUACUGUAUACACAGUAGCUAUGGCUACUGGUUUCCCUCACCAUGAGUGAAAGUGGGGCUCUAGGUAGAUGCCAAGAUGUUAUGUACCCUAAUCUUGGAACCCUGUCACUAUUGCCAUAUUCUCUUUCUGUAGACUUGAACCAUUAAUUCCAUAGGAGUGAGACUGGCAGGGCUGGCCUUAUUUGACAGCUGCAUACUGGUUUAGGUGAUGGUUGUAUAUUUCCCUGUGACUAGAUGCUGUGCAUUCCUAUGGUGGUCAUUCCAGUAUAUGCUUUAUUAAAACUUGGCUACAGUGGAAGUGGACAGUGGUCUCUGUCUUAGAGACUUGUAAGAGCACUGAGGAGAGUUGACAAUCUAGGUUUGUUUCCAUGUAUUGCCUGUUGGUGUGCCUGUGAGACUUGACAGACUGCUUUAAGAUUUUUGGUUUUGUGCUGCUGGGAUUCGAACCUAGGUCUCAUGCAUGUUAAGCAAGUUCUCUACCAUUAAGCUAUAUUCUCAACUCUUUGUUUUAAGAUAUCUGCAAAGCAAAACAUAAUAAAAUAGGGGAAAAAUGCAGGUUUAUAUUUAAAAAAUGGGAGAAUUGAGUCUUAUUGGCAUAAACUCUCAUCAGUGUAUGAAGGAAAAUAAUUAUGAUCUAUACUGUCUGACUGAAAGAGAAAACCAAUCAAGCUAUAGUAGGUAUUUUAAUAAUAUAUGUAUUUUUAUGAUUUUAUACUUUGCUCUCAUUGUUAACCAUGAACUUUAUGAGUUGUGUAUUGACUAAUAAAAGGUAAUACAUUAUAUACUAAUGCACUUAUCUUUAUAUACAGAUAGAAAUGUAUAUGCUAUAUUACACUAGGUUACUACAAUAGAACUGUAUGGUUAUGAAACGUAUACUGAGAGUAAGGAACUGCUGACAGCCUGAGAAGUGUCAGAAUAUGUAGAUAUUUAUACUGUGUUGGUGUUUGAGUACAUGUGUGUCUACAAAUAUAAGCUAGAGAAUGAUCUUUCAGAUAUUUUCAUCUAUUGUUCUGUCUUUUUUUGGGGAGGGGGAAUUUCUCAUUGAGCCUAGAACUGGCUGUUUCUGAUAUACUCGCUCACUAGGAAGCCCCCAGGAUCCACCUGCCUCUAGCCUCCAGUAAUUACGGGUAUGGACCGCACCUAGCUUUUAUGUGUGUCUGAGGAUCUCAAUUCAGGUCCUCAUGCUUGCAAAACCGGCAUUUGACUGAUGGAUACGUAUACUCAGCCCCAAGAAAUUUAAAUCAGUUUUUUGGUUUGCAUAUUAUUUUAUCAUUUAGUAAAGGUGAGUAAAUUUACAUACUAAUAAAAUGGAUAUGCUUGAUUAUUUUUUACAUAAAAUGUUAAGUAAUGGGUAAAUAUUUGAUACUGUGGUACUGCACUGGUUAGUUUUGUAUGUCAACUUGACAGAAGCUGGAGUUAUCACAGAAAAAGGAGCCUGAGUUGAGGAAAUGCUGCCAUGAGACCCAGUUAUAAGGCAUUUUCUCAACCAGUGAUCAAGGGGGGAGGACACAGCCCACUGUGUCUUGGGUUCUAUAAGAGAGCAAGCCAGAGCAAGCCAGAGCAAGCCAGAACAAGCAAGCCAGUAAGUAACAUCCCUGCAUGGCCUCUGCAUCAGUUCCAGCCCUGACUUCCUUUGGGGAUGAACAGCAAUGUGGAAGUGUAAGCUGAAUAAACUCUUUCCUCCCCAGCUCGCUUCUUGGUCAUGAUGUGUGUGCAGGAAUAGAAACCCUGACUAAGAGGUACAUGGAGCAUUUUCAGCAUUGUUUUAAAACACUUAUUUGUUGUUUUUUGACAUAGGCUUACCUGAAAGUCAUGGCAAUCCUUUUACCUCAGUAUCCUGAGUGUUAGGUUAAAGGUUUGCACCAUCAUAUCUGUAUUUUAACUUUGCAAUGGUCUGUACUGAGAAUGCCACUUUGCAUGAAUUUAUAGUACAACUUGUAGUGGGAUUUUCUGUGUUAAUUCAGAAAUUGUUGAAGAUUUAGUUCUCAUCCUAUGUCAGAAUUAAUAUAAGGAGUUUUUAAAAAUAAAACUCAGGAGACAAACUGAAACAGCAAUUUUGAAAAUAAGACAUUCCAGAACAAUUCAACCUAACCAUAGAGUAGUUUGAUAUCUACAUUGUGAACAGUCUUUGUUUUCUAUAAUAAGCCAGAACAUUCUGUUUCUCUAAGUGCAGAAAAGCCUGUACAGUAGUCACAUCGUCGGGUAUAACGCCCAGUAUUUUAAUACCUGAGCCCAGGGCUUUCAUGUUUGUUGACAGCAUGUGCAGUGCAAAGAGCACAAUUGUGUGUUCAGAACCAUGGCUGCAGUGAAGUCAUAGACCUUGGAUUCAUUGUGCAUUGUAUUUUAAAUUUAAGUUUGAUCAUCACACGUUCAGAGCCGUUUUCUGCUUGUUAAAGUUCUCACAGCCCGCUUUUGUUAUAUCACCACAUAUGUAGGCCAGACUCACAGUUUAGGAAGCCGUGCCUUUGUUCAUGGAUUGGAGAUUGACUGGCUGGUUGUCUCCAGGUUGCCGUCCAUUAGGAGGCGGCCUCGUCGCCAGCCUCAGGUUCUGGCUCCAUCCACGUUAGGAAGCAGUGGCUUCUCAUGCUUUUCACUCUAUUGUUUUUGCUUUUUCGUGAAUGCAGACUUGAGACUGUGUAAUUUUUAAUUUUUAAGCUUUAUUGAGGCGCAAUUCAUCUAUAAUAAACUGCACAUGUUUAAUUUGUAAUUUGGUUAAGUUUUGACGUAUGUGUAUACCUGUGAUGCUAUUACUGCAGUCAAGAUAAUGAACAUAUCCAUCAGCCCUGAGUUUCUUUGUACCCAUUGCAUGAAUUUUUAAAAUGCGAUACAUUAUGCUAAAAUAAAUGUAUGUAAUAAAACCGUUCUUGCAGGGAAUUUAGUGAGUGAUCACAUUUUAAAAGUUUUCUCUUAUGAAGAUCUUUAAGACAUGCACAAUUAGAGACAAUACUAUAGCUCCAUGUAUUUAGUCCCCACAUGAACAUGCUAGAGAACAGUCCUAUAGCCUGACAUACCCACUCACUAGCCUGAGCAUGGUAGAGCACAACUGUGUAGCCCUGUGCAGCCAUCACAGGCAUGAGCAUGAUGGAGAGCAGCACUGUAGCCCUGUGCAUCCUGUCACUGGCAUGAACAUGGCGGAGUUCAGCACUGUAGUUCCACAUAGUCACCAGCAUGAACAUGUGAUAGCAUUUUAAUUACACUGCUACAGAGCUUAUACAUUUUGCUGCUUUUAUGUGUAGUGUUGCAUUUUUUUAAAAGACCAUGUCAUGUGUAGUCUUUGUUUUAUAAAUGAGGACGUUAAAGUGUGUAGAUAUAGAUUCACUGGAAAAAAUAUGUAAGUUACAGGAGUGUGGGAAGAAAACCGUGUUUUCUACUUCAUGUUUGGUGGAGCCUUUCUACUUAACUACCAUGUAGAGCGUGUGGGCAUCACCUGGGAACUUACGAGAACUGUGGAUUCUCUUCUCUAUCCCAGACCUACUGAGUCAGAAAUUGUGCUUUAACUAAUUUCUCGGACAGUCAUGUCCAUCUUAUAUUUAGGCAACAGUGAAAUAUUAGAAUUAAAAAACCAUUUCAAGUGGAGUGAGUGAAUUGAAGAUCGGAAGUCUGACUCGGAUAUGGCUCAGUCUGCAGCUGAAGGGUGCAUGGACAAAGCUAUGAGACGCGAGGCUUUGAGCUUUCCCUAUGUCAUUGUUCUUAAUUUAUUAAAAUAUCUAUAAGGUCACAACAGUAAAUGGAUUAUAGUUUAAUCCCUUUAGCCAAGAUUACGUAUAGUCUCUGAGGAGGAAGGUAGAAAGCCUUGUGGUGGUGGUUGUUGUUGUUGUUAUUAUUAUUAUUAUUAUUAUUAUUAGUAUUAUUAUUAUAUCUCUGUAAGUUAACACAUUCUCUUCUUAUUCCUACCCCAAUCCCAAAACAGGGCCUAGUAACCAAGGGCAGAAUUAAACAUUUCUCAGUUUGUACACCAAGGGAGGACCUCAUGUGUUGUUCUAUCCAUCCGGCCAGGGAAUGCUUCCAUUAGCCUCUUCCUAAUGUUUUCACUGAAUGAGCCAUUACAUUCUGAUGGCAGCUCUGACUGAAUCCAGUAUUGAUGCAUUCACUUACCAACUUCCUUGCCUCUGGCAGAACAGCCUUUACUAAUGGUAGAGCAAAGCAGCAGCCACUGGCUUCACCCCUGCUCACCGUGAAGCUGCGUGUACUGCUCCUCUUGCCAUAACCCUCAUUUGUAGGCCCCAUUCUAAUUCUAUUCUCUGGGCCCAUGCUGCAGGAUUGUGGUUCAGAUGAUUGUUACUGGUUAAUGGAACCCCUUUCUGGAUGUUUGCAGGUAGAGUCCUAUCCAGGAUCAAACCACAUCUGAUAUGCACUGUAGUAGAGUAAGGUUUCAGUGUCUUAAACAAUGUACCGGCAUAGUUCUUCUGAUUUGUGGUAUUGUCACAUAAUACCUGCAUGGUAUAUUUUCAUACCUUUCUAGAGGGCACAAAGAAAUUAUUUGGUUUGCUUUAAAAAUUUUCAUUCUUUUAAAUAAAAGCAUGUGCUCUAGAGUAAACUGGUAAGUCACUUUUAGCAGUUUUAACAACAUCCGUGGCUCUUUCGGUUCAGUCAUCUAUUUACAUAUAACACGUGAAUCCCAGCUUCUUCAAUGGUGCCUCAUGGAUCUAAGGAAAGCCAUGGGUCAGAGCCCAUGGCGUUUUAGUACAGGGCUUACAGCUUCACUGUCACUGAUAUUGUGAGGGUCAGCCACACUAUUGAUAUCAUUCCCAUUUAGAUGCCCAUGUAACCUUUCAAAAUAAAACACGCCUUUAAUAUUUGAACUAAUUAUGUGACGUUCUGUCAAAGUGCUGCCUUUUCGAGAGUAGCAUUUAGAACUCAUCAACGAGAAACAUGCGAAUGUGGCAGUGACCAGCUCAGGAUUCUUGUCAUCACUCUGAGCCUUUCCUGGUGGUCUGCUCGCAGCAUUGUGGGUUGCCUUUCCUAUUUCAGUUUGAUUCUUAGCAGCAAAGUCUAUCUUGUCCUUUGCAAGCUCUUCCAUAUCCCUCUAGAAUUCUGGAUUAUACAGUUAGCUAUGUAGUGAAAAUAUCGCUAGUGUGGGAAUAACUCAAAUUAAAAUGGGAAACUGGAUUUGGCAUGUGUUCAGUUCACUUCCUGGGGUUAAGUCCAGAGCCACAAAGUAGAUCUGUACUCUUCUCCCCUGAAUGUUAGCUUUACUGUUGAUUUGAAACCAUAACAGUUAAUAUGCUUUAGCCUUUGCUUUCACAGACGAGAAAUGGAUCUUACACUUAUAUCACCAGGUUCCAACACUAUUCCCACUAAGUGGGAUGCUUUACUACCUCAGGGGUAGUGCAUUAAGCCUAUUGCUCUUGAGAAUCCAUUUUCAUCUCUUCUCACCAAUUGACGGGACAGAUAUGACAAGCCUUUAAAGUAGAGUGGAAAUUUUCUGUGGGGUGGGCUGUUGUAUUAAAUUGUUCCUUACCACCACCGUGGAUGUUGUAAAGACUUGUGAGUGGGUAGCCUAUGGCUAAGAAAAGAGAUAUAUUGUCUGCAGUCCAAAGGCUGUAAGGUCUAAAAUAUUGGGAAUAGUUUUCUUUCUAUCUGCAGACUGUUUUGUCUCCUUUAAAUUAUGUGCUGAGUCCAUGCACUCCAAAGAGCUUUCUAUCAUCAGAAAGCAUUAGUCAAGUUCUUAAUUGUUUACGAUGCUGUAAGACCUGGCUUAAAGUUAAUUCUAUGAAGUUUAUUUGAAUCAGUAUAUUUUUACAUAGGGAAAGUAGAUUUAGAGUAUUUUUGUUGUAAGGGUUGGUUGUGUGGUUAUCACAUCAGUUCUUAGUUCUAAACCCCUUUGCCAUUUUGUUAAUGUCCAUUCAUCUGCCUCUUGCUCUUAUUCAUAUGUUGUUUACAGAAUUAUAACAUCUAAGAUGAAUGCUGUGGACAUUCGUAUAUUAUGUCAAAAGAAAAAACACAGGAAAGGUUUGCAACAAGAUAAUCACUACUUUGAAGAGGCUAGGCUCUAUUUUAGAAAACUCUUUAGAAUGAAAAGCAGAAAUUUGAAAUGCUGUGGAUGGUUUUUUUAAAUGAUCUAUUUUAUGUAUAUGAAUAGUACACUAUAGCUGUCUUCAGAUGCACCAGAAAAGGGCAUCCGGUCCCAUUACAGAUGGUUGUGAGCCACCAUGGGGUUGCUGGGAUUUGAACUCAGGACCUCUGGGAGAGCAGUUAGUGCUCUUAACUGCUGAACCAUCUCUCCAGUCCUGCUGUAGAUGUUUUAAUCACAUAUAAAUUACUAGUCAAAUAUUUUAAGUGGUGUCCAUUGGCUGUACUCAGGCAUUUGCUCUAGGAGUGCAGUGAACACAUAGGGUUCUAUUUGGCUCCACUUUGCUCUUCAUAAUCUACUUUUCAGAACACCCCUAUUACCUUUUUUUUUUUUUAAUCAAGCUUUUUUUUUUGAUUCUUUGUGAAUAUCACAUCAAUUCCACUGAUCUCCCCACCCCUCCAUAGCCACCCUUGCAAACCUCUCUUCCAAAAGAAAACAAAGAUUAAAAAAAAUGAAUUUGGUUUUUGUUUGGUUUCUAUUGGAUGAAUUAUUUAAUUCUUAGAAAACCAGAGCAACACUCAACCAUGUAUUGCUAUGAUUAGAAAUUUUAAAAGAAAUCAAGCAUAAACGUACUCUCUGUAUUCAAAGUACCCAGCUAUAACAUAUAAUAGAUACAUGUAAAUGGUCAAAUUAUUAUUGGCACACAUUAGCAUAUUGAUUGUCUCACAUAGUUAGCUAUUCCUCUGCCCCGAGAGCAGUGCUGAUUUCCUCAUUUAACAAUAGCCCUGUAUAUCGUAUUAGUAACUGAGUCCUUAUGUUGGCCUCUUUCUUUUGUGGUGCUGAGUUAGACCCAGAUCUUGAUGAAAGGCAAGUCCUCUGCUACUAAGCUCUAUCCUUAGCCCCAAACUCUUUGUACAUUGCUGUGUCUUAUUUAUCUACUGAUGGAUGUUCUUAAGGAAAAUUUAAUAUACUUUCUACUCCGGGUUUAAAAUCAUAAGCGAAGCAUCAAUGGGAGGAAAAGCAUCGAAACUUACAGCUCAGGCAGUCCUGUGUGGAGCUAGACAUGACAUUGGUUUUGUUUACUAGAUAUGCCAAGAGACACAGCAGCAACCUUUAUUUUUGUGGCCCUGGUCCUUAUUCACAGCCUUUUGUGUGGCUUUUCACAAUAUAUUUCUAGGGAACAAAGUUCACUGUAGUCUCAAAGCAAAUAUGUGCUCCCGUUUUUAAACCAAGCAUUUUAAUACAUUAUUAUUACUUGAGCUAAUAACACAUAGUCCUCUGUCAAUGAACUAAAAAGGUACAAAGUUCACAGUAGUUCCCAGAUAGCUUCGUAAUUACCCAGACAGCUUGUUGUUAGAAAAGCUGUUAAAAUCGAGGAUUAUGAAAUAUACUGAUGGUUAUUUUACUCCCAUGGAGUUUCUGAAGAUUGUUAGUACAUUUGUCUAUAAUUAUGUACAAAAUCUCAGAGUCUUCAUUAGUGAAAUUUAUAGUGUAAGCCAGAAUGAUUUCAUGUAAACUGUACUCGUUCCUCCUUUCCCAUUCUCUGUCUUAACCCUUGAGUCUUAGUUGUUAAGCUCACACUAAGGAUUCUUCCUGUCUUUUUAUUCCUUACCUCCCCAUUGGCUAGGUUUGAGGUUUUUUAAAAUUAUUAUUAUUAGUUUAUUUAUUAUGUAUGUGUUUGUGUAUUCCCAAUUUGUUUGGGGGAAGAUCUAGAAAGUAUAUCAGUGAUUACAUUUAUUGAAUGUCCUUUAUGUGUGUUUUAGCUUUUUAAGUCUCACAUAGGUUAGGGUGUUAUCAAACUCUAUGUAAGCGAGGAUGACCUUGGCCUUCUGAUCCUUCUAUCUCUUGAGCAGUGGGACCAGUAUGCACUACCACACUGGAUUAGACCCAGUUUUCUUGUAUGCUAGGCAAGCACUCUACCAACCAAAUUAUAUCUCCAGUCUUUUUUUAUUGCAGUUAUUAAAAUAAAUCCCAAAUAAAGGAAUUUCUUCAGGUUCUGAGAACUUCUGAAAGGGAAGAGAAGGUUGAUUAAGGUGGUGUGUUUCAAGUCCUGACCCAGUAUGUAGACUGAACAGACGUGCUGAUAAUUACAGCAGCAAAGGUAGCCUUUCUGUGGUAGGAGGUUUGUUAACUUAUGUGCGAAUAUUUUCUUUCCUUUCUAAAAUAUUGUAUCAUACCUACAAUUUGUAUUCCUUACUGAGGUGUGCUGAACCAUGAUGGAGCAAGUAAUACUUUGAGUUCCUGGGAAUGGAUUGGAGAAUAGAGAAGAAUAAAUGACUAGUAGAUGACUGUCCUGAAAGGCAGAAAGAACAAAUUUAUAGAAUGGGAUGAAGUGUUAGAGCCAAAGUGAGCUGAUCAGUGUCCAUGUGCUUCUAGCAUCUUUGGCCUGCAAAUCUGGGUUUUUUCCUUUUAGACCAGGGACCUCUACUCAUUAAAUUCAGUCCUGUCUAGUCUUUGGUCUUCAUUUUCCAUGAUUUAUACAUUCCAUGUAUGAUUCCUUCAUGGAGGCAUAAGUCAGGAUACCAAUCACUUCAGUAGUGUUUAUUAUUAUCAUUAUGAACUCAAAAUUAUCAUUAGGAUAGAAACAAUAAUUAUAGUAAUAAAUGCUGCAGGGUAUCUGAGGUUAAAAUAGUAAUAAUAGUCUUCCAUGCUUGUCCCUGUGUUUGGUUAUUGUUUGAACCAUGGACGCAGUGAUGCGUGCUGAUAGAGGUGUUCUAUUACAAAGAAGCAGUGCAGAAACGUGUAUCACAAAGACAUUUGGGCUGUCAUGGCCUGAAAGUGACAUGUGGAUAGAGAUGAAAAGCCAAAUUUCAGCUGGUUGUAGAUUUCCAUCUCAAGUUUUUUGUGGAAUCAAGUAGGUAUACAUUUUUUUCAAUGGAUACUUCAGUGGGAUGUCUUCUAAGAAAUUCUUAGGGAUUCCUAAGUUAGGGCUUUGAUGUUUUCUUAUACCUUAAAUUUUGUGUUUUAGCAGCAAGUUACUGUGCCAACAAAGCUUUUGUAUUAGUGUACCUAUUCAGUGCCACCGGCCUGGCAAGUUCCAGAUGUCAGCAAAUCUACCAUUCCUUGAUGAUUAUCUCUUCUCAUCACCCCAAUGCCUCAGUGAAAUAAACCGCCUAGAGGGGCUCCUGCUGUGGGACACUUUUUAAAGCCUUAUGGGAGGUUUGUAUCCCAUGCAAAGUCUUAUCUUUUCAUUUAAAGGUUUUAGGAGGAAUACUGAUCUGAGCACUAGGAAUUAAUUCAUUUUAUUUAGAGUUAUUCUGCUCUCUACUGUAGUUAUAAGCAUGAACUGAAGGGCAGCUUCAGCUCUUUCCUUCUGGGCUAGAAAAUACGUUUUCCGUAUAUUAAUAUUAGGUUAAUGUGGACAAUUAGUGCCUUGCAUGUGGGGUUGGUGUUAAAAUACUCUGUUUCCUCUAUUCUAAUUCUUCCUAGAUUUCAGUCUGAAGAAUCAGGCUGCAGGUUUUUUAAUUCAGCAAAAUUCUAUCGGUGCUUGAAUCUGGUGAGAAGCUGUAGUGUCUAUGAAGGCGCAUAUUCAUGUCGGUGUUUUGUUUUUCUUCUCUUUAUUGCUGCAGAAAUGACCCAGUGAAGUGAUUUCCUCUGGAAAUUUGAGUAUGAUUUCUAAGUGCUUCCACAUAUUUGUUUCCAUAAUUUUCUCUAUUAUUAGCCAAAGGCCAUAAAAUUUCAAUCACAUAUUCACAUAAGGAAACACUGUUGAUAAAGGUUUAAUGCAAUAGCUUUUCUCCUUUAUCUGACAAUAAAAUUAGUGAUAUAUAUUAUUGUGUGAUGUCCUCUCACAUUCUGAUCUCUGUUCGAGGUUGGGAAGUUGUGAGCAUUAACUUUGUUGCCUAUGCAUGCUCUUCACGGUGCACUUCGUCUUAAAGCUCUAUGUAUUAAUGUGCACACAUACACAUGCAUGUUCAGUCUUUUUCUGAACCAUUUAUAGGUUGCAAGAAUGACACCUAAUUAAUGUCAAAAACUUCAGUGCCUACUUAGGAAGGACAGGGAAUCUGCUAACGAAACAAUUGGUGAAGUGCUGUUGGCCAGUCUGUACUUCUCAUUACAGCAAGCUUUUCACUAUGUAUUUUAGAGCAAAGUGGAACAUUAUCUAGAAUUCAAAGUAUGGAUGUGAAUUAUAUUUAGUUAUUUUUCAUGACACUCUGUUUCUCUUAGUUGAACAGUCCCUUAAUUCCUCUCCACUUGUAUGGUACCGGCAUUCUGAAAGGAUACUGUGUUUGGUAGGAUGCUCUUCCCAUUCAGGAGUUGCUGACGUUCUCUUCCUACACUGAGGUUCCACUGUUCUGACAGGACCGCCGCAGUCGUGACAUUUGGUUGUCAUCUGUUACAUAAGAUAUCUCUAUGCGUGCACACUGCGCUAACCACUGAACUCAGCGCUGUGUGGUGCUAGGAGAGUGCUCCAUGGCUGAGCGCGCUGUCAGCCUUUGCAGUCUCAGAUUGCUAGUGACAUUACCUUUGCCCACUACCCUCUAGCUUGUUUCUUUGUCCAGGUUCAUCCAGGUGUAAUUGACAUGGAGCGCACUGUGUUUACAUACUUUAGGUGUAAGGUUUCAUAUAGCUGAUAAGUUAGUGACUGAAGACCUGACAGACUUAGAGUUACCAAAGCUUUACACGAAUCUUGUGGUCUUAGGCUCCAAUUCUGUUUGUUUUAGUGAACAGAGUCAAUGUAGAUUGUGUGUGUGUGUGUGUGUGUGUGUGUGUGUGUGUGUGUGUGUGAGGUGUCACAGAUCUGUAAUUCCAGGUACUCACUAGGCUAAAACAGAAAGACAAUUGGGCAAGUGUCAGAAUGAUUCUUUUUUAAAGAGUUGGGUCUUUUGCCUAGCAUGCAUAAGACCCUAGGUUUACCCCCAACACAGACAGAAAGAUGUCUGGAGAAAAGUAAAGCCAGAGAAGGCUUAGAAAUGUUAGGGAGGGGUGUAGUUAAAGUUUUAAGAUGUUUAGCUAGGUGGCUGGAGACUAGCCCUUACUUGAGUUAAGGCUUCUGAGGAAGGUUAUGAAGUGGCCACACAGGCAUCUAGGGAGGAACAGUCUAGGUGGUCACAAAGGCAAAAGGGAAGAGUUGUGUAGUGGGAGCAUGUCUGGCACGGUAGUGCAGCAGUGGAAAGGCAGCAGAGCAGAGGAGGAAAUGAGGACCACUUGCUGUUUUAUCAAAACGACGGGGCAGUAUGUAAGCAGCAAGUCUGUUUCUUACAGCUUUGAAAGGCGGGAAAUGCAGUGUGCAUGCGGGUUUGCUGUAUAGCCAGUGCUCGGUCUCUGCUUUUAAGUUGGUGAGUGCUACUCCAUCAAAUGGCAGAAGGCCAACAAGGCAAAGGGAGCCUUGCUGAUCCCUUUCAGCCUGUGUUAAGGGUGUUAACCAAUCACGACGUCAGAGUUUGUCAGUUGCGUCCCAAAGUUCACACUUAUUACUAUUGCCUUGGGGACUAGGCCUCAACAUGAGUUUUAAAAGACUAUAGAUGUGCACACCACAGCACGUAUGGAGAGAAACUGAAGAUUUCUGGACUCAUCCAUUCCUGUUGAGUAUCUGCAUUUGGGUAUCUAGCAACCAUCCAGGCCAGAACAUUCAAAAUGAGAACCCUGAUAUUCCCCAUCAAACCCUCUUCUCUUUCAUUACACCCAGUGUUGCUCAUCUGGUAUUUGAGAAUAGAUAGAACCUUGGAAUCAACUCCCCUGCCUCCUGACAGCCUACACAAGUAAAGUGUUUUUCUUGAAAAUAGAAUCAGAAAAGGCAGAGAGAUUUCCCCGUAGCAAUAAACACCAUGAGCACACAGAUCUCACAGAUCUUGGUCCCUAAGGCCAUUUUUCUCUAAAACAGGACGCUCUGCAGAAAAGAGUGAUGGCACCGUUGCUGCAGGGUGUGACUCUACCAACAUGGUUCCAGAGCCAUCUCAGUGUGGCCGCAUUGGGAAGCUCUGAGAGCAAUGUUGGGGACAUGUCACAAGGAGUCGGGAGUUAGUUUGAAGAGCUCCCACUAGCAAUUCUUGGAUAGUUUGAAUCCCCAAAUAUAUAUGGUAAUGAAUUUUAAAUAGGAAUUCAUGAGUCCUUACUGGUGAUAAAUAAACGAUUUAGAGAGAAAGUAGGACUCGAUAGAAUGCUAGGCCAGCUGGGAAAAUGGACUUCAAAAGCCACCAGUUUGCAGCUACCAUGGCGAAGAUCAAGACAGGUGAGAGUCCUUAAAUGGUCUAAAUCAAGGAAGAAUUUUGAUUAGGAGUAGGCUAGGUGGUUUGAAAGCAUAUUCUCAGGGUUGCUUAUUAGUGACAGGGGUGGGGUCCCCUAAUUAAACAUCCAAAAUGGGGUGAGGGAUACUAUUUUUCAAAAUGUCAAUGUUAUAAAUUUACUGAAAGUAUUCCAGAUUAACGGUGUCUAAGUAGAUUAGCAGUUAAAUGCAAUGUAUGUUCUUAGACUGGGUUCCUGUCAUGGAAGGCAUAAAGUGCUAGAACAUUAUUGGGUCAACUGAUAACAUAAGGACAGAUAAUGGCUAGGAUAAAAGUACAGUAUCAUAUCAUAUUUACCAAGGCUUGUAACCCUACAGCAAUGAAGAAAAUAACCACACUUUAAGGAUAUACUAAAGUAUUUAGAAAAAAGAAUGAUGAUAUAACUUAUGCAUAAUUGUUCAUACAAGUUUGAUGCACAUUUGUACACCUACACACAUCACUGUGUAUACUUACUCAUGUGCUUCAUAGAUGAGAUGCAGGCAGACAGCUGGUAAAGUGUACAUAGAUGCUUCUAGUACGAUAUUAUUUUGCUAAUUUAGGAGGCAGAGGUAAUGGGAUCAUGAAUUUCAGGCUAGCCUGUGUUUCAUACAAGACCCUGCCUCAAACACAAAACCUGAAACAACCCCCACAAUCCUGUUACCAGGUCUUUCUCUCUUUCUCACGUUGCUAAGGAACAGUUAUGCCUUACUCAGGUCGCUCUGUAGUCUCCCACCACGGUGUACUGUAGUUCUCUCUCUCUCUCUCUCUCUCUCUCUCUCUCUCUCUCUCUCUGUCUCUGCGUCUGAGACAGAGUUUUCCUGUGUAGUCCUGGCUGUCCUGGAGCUUGAUCUGUAGAUCAGGCUAGCCUCAAACUCAGAUUCAGAGAUUUGCCUGUCUCUGCCUCUGGAGUGCUGGGAUUAAAGGUAUGUGCCACCACUCCCUGCCAAAUAAAUUCUAUUAAUGUAUGAUGUAUGAUUAAUAUAUGGAUAUUCAUGUAGGAUGUGCCAGGCUCAUGUGCUCUGGCCCACGUCAGCCUCUGUGAUAUCACUCCUCCAUCACUGCCUAACCUGCCUAACUCCAUCCUGCCUAACCCGUCUCUCUCUGUGUUGCUGCAGCAGCCUCAGUUUAUCUCCUUGCAGGUACCAUGGGUAAGUUCUCCUCCCUGGCUCCUACUGCCUGCACAGUAUUUGCCCAGGCUUCUGAGGAGCUCACUCUCUUUUUCUUUCAUGCAUUUGCCAAAGCCUGUCAUGAGAGGCUGUUCACUCCCCUCCAUAAGCCUUCUCUCCUUUUCUGUUUUAUGGCUAUUUUUUCUAACUCAUUCUUAGAAUGCAAGUUUAGUUCACUACUGCAUUCCCACUGCUUAGACAUACCAGCCCCUUGGGAAAUGCUUGUGAAUGAGAGAAUAUUUAAGUUUGAGGCCCUUAACAACCCAGCGAAAUUUAUAUAGAAAUAUAUAAUAUAAAAAUCGGGUUAUUAUACAAUUUAUAAUUACAAAUAUAUACAUAUUAUAUACAUAUAAUACAUAUAAUAUAUAAUUAUGUAUAUAUGUACAUAAACACACUUGCACAGAAAGAAAGUUUUGUUGGUUUUGAUAGACUUUGCUGUGCAAUGAUGUAGACAGCCUCCCCAGUGGGCUGGCAUGGGAGACAUUUAGCUGUCAGGUCUUCAGUCUCUAGUCAGGUUAUUGUCCCUGAGAGCUGUCUGCCAUUUUAUUGUCUCAGGAGCAGGAGAGCAGGUUCCAGAGGUGUGAACGCCUUCCUUCUAAUGUUCUCAAGCGGAGUGGUGCUGGUGACAGUUGUCAUGCCCUGGUUCUUAUGUGCUGUCCUCCCUGCUUCCCUGGUUUUGUAGGUUAGUUUCAUCAGGCAAACAAGUCGGCUCAUUCCACUAAUCCAGUUGGCUCUUAACAGAAGUGAAAAACUUAAAACUAAGAAGAUGGUUGCUUGGUCCCAUAACAGUAGGGAACUAAUGGGAACUAAGUCCUUUGUUCCAGUAAGCCAUAUCUAUCAUUGGGUAGAUUUCUCAAAUCUGUUUGUGAUCAUUACCUGCACGUAUCCAUCGCAUACUUAAAUGUGGCGUAUUUGAAUUAAGAAGUUGUCAAUAUAAAAUAUAUGUGUCUUUAAAUGUCAUAGUCUAAGAAUACUAGUUUUGAAGACUACAAAGAAGAACGUACACUAUUCCAUUAAGAAUUUUUAAAAUACUAUUAAAAUAGUGUUUUGAGUAUAUUGCAUUAAAAUAUUAAAAUUCAUUUUAUUUAUUUUUUUGAAUCCUAAAAUUUGGCUACUUGAAAUCUAGACUUAGUUUAUAUGUGGCUAGUCUCAUGGCUCUUUUGGACAGCAUUGUUGAAGAGGCCAAUAACUGAGGCAAAUGUGUCUGUCACUAAUGGACUUUGGAAAUUCACGAAUAUCCUCUGUUUUAAAAUAUGUCCAUGUUUUCCAAGUUAUGGUUUUGAGGUACUUACUGUUGUUAACUUUAAGUUUAUAGAUGUCAAUUUGCCAGGUUUUCACCUACAUUUUGUUUUAGUGGUAAAAUCUUAUCUCAAGUCUAGAAUGGAAGUCGACUUUCCUAAUUUGUGCUGUUCUAUUUGAGGUGAGUCCUGUAACUCACAUAGAUCCAGAGAUUUGUGUCCUAUGAAGUAUUUCAGAGGAUAGAAGUGGCCUGCAGAUGCUGCCCUUUCACAGACAGAGAGGGGUCUCUAGUAGCCUUGAGGUAACUUAGAGAACAGCUUACUAGCUGGGUCGGAAGUGAAGCUCCAGCCUUUAGACAGUGGAUAACAUUCACAAUUAUUGAGCAGUCCCAGAUCAAAACCUAACAGAUCACACUGCUCACACUGUCUCUUUAGAGCUACAGUGGUUUUUACCUCUCUACAGAGGCCCGAAUGGCCAUCAGGUUGGCAUUUCUUUUUAAUUUUAUCAGGAACAUUUCAAAUUGGAACCUAUCCGAUCACUCUCCCUCCUCAGAGACAUUAAUGUGGUCUGUAUAUAAUUAAGCCAUCCACCUUCACAGCGAUUAACAUCUUCCAGAAUAGGGGUAUGAGGUGAAAAUGCCAUUCUUCAGCCUGAAGGGUUGGGAAAUUACAGCCCCUCUUUGCUAACUAAUCUCAUCUAACUAAUGUUCAUCAGAACAUUGAAAGGCACAGCUGCUUAGUUUUCAGUUCCCUUCCCUUACUAGACGCGCAGGAAGAUGACUUCCUCUUCAUCUGAAGAAUUGUGUAGAUUUUUUUUUUUUUUUUUUAAAGCCAAAGGAUCCCAGACUAAGUAGUAAGAUUUUAUAUACCUCAGGUGAACUUUCUGGGUCAAUCUAUUCCAAAAAGAACCUUUUCAACCAGUUAUGAAAAUAUUCCCUUUUCACAAAUGGGAAAAUCAAAUUUUGUGAUCUCUUGCUAUUUCUCCUAUGCAUAGCUUCUUGCUGUCCCUCCUGCCCCUAGCCUCUUUCUCGUUCAUGCAGACUCUUGCUAUAAUUCCUUCCUCUAAUCUUUGCAAGGGAUACUGCAUUUUAUCUUCCAGUUUUAACUUUUCCGCUGCCUUUUCCCUGAAUUUCAGUAAUCAUAAAGCUUAAAUGUAUGCAGUUUUUCGUGGUGUGUUGUUUUAUUCAUGGGCUCUUGCUUUCUUUUUCUCCUUUGGUCUUCUUUUACUAUAUUAUUUCCAGUUGUGCUAUAUGAUAGGGGAACUUUUCUAGUUUUGAUUUCAUCAAACACUGAAUUUUUUUUCUGUUUCAGUUUCAUUAUGAAAUAUCUGUUACACUUCUAAUCUUGUAUUUUAAUUGUUUUUGAAGCAUCCUUAUCUUUAUCUUGGGGGCAAACGAUAGUCUUUGCAGCCAGUGGGUUGUGUGUGGAAGGUGUAGGAUUCCAGCAGAUGGCUCUGGUGUUGAUCAGACUUUCUUGUAAUUUAUGGUUCCCUUUCUUCUUGCCACUCUGUUCAAGUCUUUCCCAGUCUAUGCUGGGAAAGGGGCCCUCUCUCUAUGGCAGUCCUUUGUCAUGAAUUAAGUCUUCUCCACUGUGACAUAUUUGUGGAUGUAGAAAUGGAAAUGUGUGAGAAUUUGGUGUCUCGCAGCCCCUUCUUAAUUGGUGUACGCUCUUUACUGUCUUGCCCAUGGGGAUUUGGGAGAUAGGAAGGGAGGGAAGCAUCCUUUGCUCCUAAACCUGAAGAUCGAGAGUGAUACUUUGUUUUCAGCCAUCUUAAAAUCUUGGAUGUUUGUGUGGUCCUUCUUUCGCUUUUUUAAAAAAUAUAUUUAAAAAAUUUAAUGUCUGUGCACAUGUGGUUGUAGGAAGAGUGGCACCCCCUGUGUGCCUCCCUCCUCCCCUGACCUGGAGUUUAAGGUGGCUGUGAGCCGCCUGAUGUGAGUGCAGAUAGGUGGACUCAGUCAGGUCCUUUGAAAGAGCAGCUAGUGCACACGCCUGGGUCACCUCCCCAGCCCUGUUUGGUGCUUUUGCAUGCUUGGGUUAAUCCUCAAAACAGUUUGGUUUUGGUGGGACUUUUUUAUUUAAAAAGACAUGGUCUCAUUUAUGUGGUCCCGACUGUCCUGGACUUUACUGUGUAGACCAAGCUGGCUUCAAACUCACAGAGAUCUGCCUGUCUGCCUCCCACGUGCUGAGAUUAAAGACUUGCACCACCAGGCCCUGCUUAGGUGGGACAUAUUAUUCUUGCUCUAAGCCCCAGGAAGAAAAUGAAGGGAUUUCCUGAAGGUUACUGUCUAAAUUGUGGAGCUGACACAAAUACACAAGCCCGAGUCUUCUAAUUCUAGUCCAGAUUGAGCCCCCACCUCCUCUAUACCCUUUUGAUUGGAUACAAAGUUUCUUCUGCCCUGAUUCUUACUCUCUAAAGUUUUAACUGUAUCUGUAGUAUUUCUAUGGCAAGAAGCUUAGUUCUUUAUUAUCCCACUUUUUUUUUUUCUUUUUUUCGGAGCUGAGGACCCAACCCAGGGCCUUGCGCUUGCCUAGGCAAGCGCUCUACCACUGAGCUAAAUCCCCAAUCCCUAUCCCACUUUCUUUAUUCCUUAGAUUUAUUAUUGUUUUUACUUCUAUUGUAGGUUAUUUCAUAACAAAAGUCAAAUGUUUAUAGUCAGAACAUAUACAUAUACAUAUAUAUGCAUAUACACAUAUUUGGCUAUUUAUGGUCAUAUUUUUUUUCAUAGCGUUUUUGACUUUUAAACUAGUUUCAUGAUCUUUGUCCAGUAUCUUCUUUGAUAACCCUGGUUUAAUGUUUUUCUCUUCUUGACUUAUGUCUUAUUUUUUAGAAUAUUAGGUGAUUGAGCUUUUCUGACUAAUUUUGGAGAAAACGGCUUUUGGUGUAUUUUCACUAGGCAUGUGUAGUUUUUUUCUUGUUGUUGUUUUGUUUUGUUUUUGUUUUUGACAGUCUUGUCAUGUAGUCCAGGCUGGCCUUGUAAGUACAUGAAUCGCUAUGAAUAGCCCUGAAACAAUUUUAAUUUUUGAGAUGGAGUUUCAUGUUAGCCAGGUUGACCUCAAACACUGUGUAAAUCAGGCUGACAUUAUAAUUCCUGUUCUUAGGCUGGAAGAUGGCUCAGAGGUUUAGGGCAUGCAUUGGUCUUUCGAAGGUUCUGAGGUUAAUUCUCAGCACAUGUGGCAGCUGACACCUGUCUGAUGCCUUCUUACGUGGGCAGACACACAUACACACAGAGAACCUGUAUGUGUAGGAGAUACAUAAAUGAAUCAUUCUUGUACAAAACCUUCCGAUCUUUCUGCCUCCACCUCCUUAUGCUGGGAUUAUGGUGUACACCAUUGUGGUUGCCCGUGUGAUUGUUUGGAUCCAUGUGUUUUGCUUGCUUCACAUUCUUGCUCCUUAUUUCAAAAAUCAGUUGCAAAAUGAGGAUUAAGAAUUAUUUCGUGUUGGCGUCUGUGUUCAUGUUAGCUCCAAUCCACAGAGGCAGCAUGCAGGUAAUUCGAUAACAGCAGUGUGAUUCGUUUCUUUCCCUCCCCCUCCUCUCCUUUUGUUUUGAUGUUGAAAUUAAGCCCAGGGCUUACUGUAUACAAAGCACAUGCUGUAGCCCGAAGCUGCAUCAUACCCAGGGUGACUGCCUUCCCAGUGUGGCGACGCUCAGUUUGGACACAGGACAUGUGCACAUGCACUUGUUUGCUUGUCACACUCACUAGAGCAAAAUCAAACUGCUACCCAGUCUGCAUUGGACACGGAUGUCUCAUUCCCACAUCCUUCAUAGCUUUUUCCAGAGCUCUUGGUGGUGGAUUAAAAGAUAGCUGUAGUGUGUAUUAAGAGGCCUCUGCUUGUAGAUGAACAGAUGAAGCCUUGUCAUGUGUUCUGGGGAAGGAACACACACAUAGUCACACACACAGAGUAAUUCUACUGAGACUGUCUUUAAAUACAGAUUCCUUGUGUUUUAUAACCUCUAAGUCCCAUCAUGUCUCCUCUGUUUUGUGUGUGGCACUUCCCAGAAUUGUGCAAAAUGGCUGUCCUGUUUAUUUAAGAAUUCACAACAUAUAAUUUAAUCCUUUCAGUUUGGGAGCUAUUGUUCAGCUUCUGUUUCAGCUUAGUAAAAUCGUAUGUCUUACUUGUUGUUUGUUUUUUUUUUUAAUUUUGUAGAACAACAAUGACAAAAAAACCACCAUCUGCUUUACUACUCACUUGCCUCAGAGACGAUGUAAAGAUCGUUAGAUUAAAAAAAUGAUAGUGGAACUCCUUGGAGAUAAGUUCUGACGAUCAAAACUGCACCAGCUGUCGAUAGUAAAUAUUACUGGGGUCUCUGGUCAUGUGCACAGUUACUUAUAGUCAUGAAGUUAGAGCUUUGUACAUUAGCUGUGCUUGGUGCUUUGAGUUCACACUACUUUCUACAAAGAACAUUUGUGUUAUUUGGACCUAUGGCAUACUAUCCAUUUGUUGAGAAUUAUUUUUAAUCUUAUUUUCUGAUAUAAUUCCAAAUCUAAAACCAAUUUUUUAGUUUUUUUCAAGAUGAUAUUUCAUGUUUGUUUAAGGGUUCCUGACUUUAGGUGUAAUAGAGUAACCAUGGAAACAGGAAUAGUGGAAGUACUGUCAGUAUUUCUAAUUGUAAGAGAAAGAUAGAUGUAAAGACGACGGGUAUCUGAGUAGUUCUGCGUGGCAUCCCCUGCAUUCGUGUUUAUUGGUAUAUACUGUUUUACUACUACUGUCUACUUCUGUUGACUUUAGAUCAAAACUCUUAUUAUACAAAUUUAGAAUAUGAUAUAGAAAAAGAUUACAAGAUUUAAGACCUUAGAGCUUCUUUUUUUGACAAAUAUUAAAUGCCCUGACACUCUAGCUGCUGUUUUGUUUCAGACAGGGUCUCUUUUGUAGCCUAGCCUGGCUUUCAGUUCGUGAUGUUUAUGCCUUAGUCUCCUGAAUGCUGGGUUUGCAGGUGUGUGCUAAUACACCAGGCUAAUUAGCUGUGUUUAUAUUUCAUCUGUGAGUUAUAGUCCAUAUUCUUGGAAGAAUUUCUGUAGGUGUCUAGAAAAUGGAUUUUUUUAAAAAUUGGCUUUCUUUUAUAAUCUCAAUUGCUUGCACUCUUGAUGCCGGCAUCUAUACUUUGGUGCAGACUAGAUGUCCCCAGCAGGCCUACGUGAGACUUUCCUGUAGAUGUGCACUAAGCACUGUGAAGCAGUGCAGUGGAGGAUUAGCCGUCCUCACUGGUCAGCAGCUUGAGCAGUCGUUCAGCAUCUCUCGUGCUGCCGUCUCCCAGUCCAGGCCUGCAUGUUCAGACACCUGAGUUGGCGGGUGCUGCUGCACCCUGCGUCUGUGCUCACUGUGUUAAGUCAGUGUGGGAUUAGGGGAUGUCUCAGGACUUUCUGCUCUGCUUCCUCUCAGUGCUCUCCUCCACUAUUCCUUCAAAUCAACUAUUUAGGGCACUAUUGAAAGGUAUUUUAAAAGUCUCCAGGAUGCUUCUGUUUCUUAUCUCACUUAUUAUCUCAUUUAAAGAUUAAUUUCAAAUUAUAGCCAAUUACUGCUCUGUUUCUUUUCCCUGUGAAAAGCUUAAGAGAAAUAAUAUAAACCUUCGCUCUUUCCACUUACUAAACCUGUAGCGUCUGGUAGUAGAAAAGAGUGUCGUAGGACUUAUUGGCACCUUGGUGCAGAGCAUCGAAGAAUUCCAUAUUGUGACAACACAUCAAAAUAAAUUGCUGUCAACAGACCAAAACACCAAGUGCUGUGAUUCUGUCUGACGUGUGAAGAUGCAGACAGGCUGUCUUGACAAGUUGUGCUGGAGCACCUGCAUUUGACAGAAGACAGUGAUAGAAAUCUGAUCUGCUUGAUACAAGACACCUAGGUACAGUUAAUGCUGGCGACAGUCUGCAUACAAUUGCCAAAUAUGAGUCUGCCUGUACUUUGCCUCUAUCAUGUGCUAUUAGUAUUGGGAGGGCACACUUUUAUCCUCACCUGGUUUCUGUCUGUGUAUUUAGUCUGACUUUGAAAUACAAUUGUGAAUAAUAACGAAGAAAAUGAACACACUGGAGUUCAGCUCAGUCUUUCUUAGUCGUAUUGCAAAAAAAAAAAAAAAAAAAAAAAAAAGAAGAAGAAGAAAAGAAAAA